rnacentral:rRNA from 1 species
UACGUAGGGUGCAAGCGUUAAUCGGAAUUACUGGGCGUAAAGCGUGCGCAGGCGGUGAUGUAAGACAGGUGUGAAAUCCCCGGGCUUAACCUGGGAACUGCAUUUGUGACUGCAUCGCUGGAGUGCGGCAGAGGGGGAUGGAAUUCCGCGUGUAGCAGUGAAAUGCGUAGAUAUGCGGAGGAACACCGAUGGCGAAGGCAAUCCCCUGGGCCUGCACUGACGCUCAUGCACGAAAUCGUGGAGAGCAAACAGG